rnacentral:rRNA from 1 species
UACGUAGGGUGCGAGCGUUAAUCGGAAUUACUGGGCGUAAAGCGUGCGUAGGCGGUUUUGUAAGCCAGAUGUGAAAUCCCCGGGCUUAACCUGGGAAUGGCAUUUGGGACUGCAAGGCUGGAGUACGGCAGAGGAGACUGGAAUUCCUGGUGUAGCAGUGAAAUGCGUAGAGAUCAGGAGGAAUACCGAUGGCGAAGGCAGGUCUCUGGGCUGAUACUGACGCUCAUGCACGAAAGCGUGGGGAGCAAACAGG